CCUACGGGAGGCUGCAGUCGAGAAUCAUUCACAAUGGGGGAAACCCUGAUGGUGCGACGCCGCGUGGGGGAAUGAAGGUCUUCGGAUUGUAAACCCCUGUCAUGUGGGAGCAAAUUAAAAAGAUAGUACCACAAGAGGAAGAGACGGCUAACUCUGUGCCAGCAGCCGCGGUAAUACAGAGGUCUCAAGCGUUGUUCGGAAUCACUGGGCGUAAGGCGUGCGGAGGCUGUUUCGUAAGUCGUGUGUGAAAGGCGCGGGCUCAACCCGCGGACGGCACAUGAUACUGCGAGACUAGAGUAAUGGAGGGGGAACCGGAAUUCUCGGUGUAGCAGUGAAAUGCGUAGAUAUCGAGAGGAACACUCGUGGCGAAGGCGGGUUCCUGGACAUUAACUGACGCUGAGGCACGAAGGCCAGGGGAGCGAAAGGGAUUAGAUACCCCAGUAGUC
rnacentral:rRNA from 1 species